GCGGAGGGUUAGGUGAUUGCGCGGCGCGGUUCGCGACGCGAGGAAAGUCCGGUCACCACCGAGCGGAGAUGCGGGUAACGCCCGCCGGGGGCAACCUCAGGGGCAGGCAACAGAAAACAAACCGCCGCGGCGUGUGAGCAAAGUUGAAAGUUAAAAGUUGAGAGGUUAAGUCGCGGUUAUCUCAACUCUCAACUCUAAACUCUCAACUUUGCUCUCAUAGCGCGGUAAGGGUGAAACGGCGGGGUAAGAGCCCACCGCGCCGGCGGUAACGCCGGCGGCACGGCGACUGCUCUCUCGGUGCAAACGCAAAUAGGAACGGAAAAAUUUUCGUCGGGCGACCGAUGAUAAAUUUGCGCGGCGGCUCGUCGCGUUGGGACGUUCGGGUAGCGCGCAAGAGACGACCGGCGACGGUCGUUCCAGUCAAAUAAUCACCCUCGACAGAAACCGGCUUAUCGACCCUCCGCCUUU
rnacentral:RNase_P_RNA from 1 species